rnacentral:rRNA from 1 species
UGGGGAAUAUUGCACAAUGGGCGAAAGCCUGAUGCAGCAAUGCCGCGUGAGGGAUGACGGCCUUCGGGUUGUAAACCUCUUUUAGUAGGGAAGAAGCGAAAGUGACGGUACCUGCAGAAAAAGCACCGGCUAACUACGUGCCAGCAGCCGCGGUAAUACGUAGGGUGCGAGCGUUGUCCGGAAUUAUUGGGCGUAAAGAGCUCGUAGGCGGUCUGUUGCGUCUGCUGUGAAAACCCGAGGCUCAACCUCGGGCCUGCAGUGGGUACGGGCAGACUAGAGUGCGGUAGGGGAGAAUGGAAUUCCUGGUGUAGCGGUGGAAUGCGCAGAUAUCAGGAGGAACACCGAUGGCGAAGGCAGUUCUCUGGGCCGUAACUGACGCUGAGGAGCGAAAGCGUGGGGAGCGAACAGGAUUAGAUACCCUGGUAGUCCACGCCGUAAACGUUGGGCGCUAGAUGUGGGGACCAUUCCACGGUUUCCGUGUCGCAGCUAACGCAUUAAGCGCCCCGCCUGGGGAGUACGGCCGCAAGGCU